AGGAAUAUUGGACAAUGGGCGGGAGCCUGAUCCAGCCAUGCCGCGUGCAGGAAGACUGCCCUAUGGGUUGUAAACUGCUUUUAUACGGGAAGAAACCCACCUACGUGUAGGUGGCUGACGGUACCGUAAGAAUAAGGACCGGCUAACUCCGUGCCAGCAGCCGCGGUAAUACGGAGGGUCCGAGCGUUAUCCGGAAUCAUUGGGUUUAAAGGGUCCGCAGGCGGCCAGAUAAGUCAGUGGUGAAAUUCCGUGGCUCAACCACGGAACUGCCAUUGAUACUGUUUGGCUUGAAUCAGUUCGAGGAUGCCGGAAUGUGUGGUGUAGCGGUGAAAUGCAUAGAUAUCACACAGAACACCAAUUGCGAAGGCAGGUGUCCAGAACUGUAUUGACGCUGAUGGACGAAAGCGUGGGUAGCGAACAGGAUUAGAUACCCUGGUAGUCCACGCCGUAAACGAUGGUCACUAGCUGUCCGGACUUAGGUCUGGGUGGCCAAGCGAAAGUGAUAAGUGACCCACCUGGGGAGUACGUUCGCAAGAAUGAAACUCAAAGGAAUUGACGGGGGCUCACACAAGCGGUGGAGGAUGUGGCUUAAUUCGAGGCUACGCGAAGAACCUUAUCCUAGACUUGACAUGCUUGAGAAUCCCUAUGAAAGUAGAGAGUGCCCUUCGGGGAGCUCUUGCACAGGUGCUGCAUGGCUGUCGUCAGCUCGUGUCGUGAGAUGUCGGGUUAAGUCCCUUAACGAGCGAAACCCUUAUCUUUAGUUGCCAGCGGGUAAUGCCGGGGACUCUAAAGAGACUGCCGGUGUCAAACCGGAGGAAGGUGGGGAUGACGUCAAGUCCUCAUGGCCUUUAUGUCUAGGGCUGCACACGUCCUACAAUGGCACGGACAAACGGACGCAAUACCGCGAGGUGGAGCAAAUCCUAGAAACCGUGCCUCAGUUCGGAUUGCAGGCUGCAACUCGCCUGCAUGAAGUUGGAAUCGCUAGUAAUCGCGGAUCAGCUACGCCGCGGUGAAUAUGUUCCUGAGCCUUGUACACACCGCCCGUCAAGCCAUGGAAGCUGGGAGUGCCUGAAGUCCGUCGCCGUAAGGAGCGGCCUAGGGUAAGACCGGUAACUGGGGCUAAGUCGUAACAAGGUAGCCGUACCGGAAGGUGCGGCUG
rnacentral:rRNA from 1 species